rnacentral:rRNA from 1 species
UAGUUGGAUGUCUAGCUUUGCGCGGACGGCCCGCCUUCGGGUUGAGUGCUGGAAGCGCUAGCUUGUUUUCCGGUUUGUGUCCCUUCCCUUGACUGUGGCGGGGUUCACGAUCCGGAUCUGUUACUUUGAAGAAAUUCGGGUGUUCAAAGCAGGCUUAUGCCGUGAAGACUGCAGCAUGGAAUAACAACAUAGGGCUAUCGCGCCUCAUUUUGUUGGUUCUGGGAUCGUAGCAAUGAUUGAUACGGACCGUUGGGGGUGCUGCUAUUCCGCGGCCAGAGGUGAAAUUCUCAGAUUCCCAGAAGAGCAACUUAUGCGAAAGCGUUCACCAAGGAGGUCCUGUUUAAUCAAGAACGAAAGUUGGGGGAUCGAAGACGAUCAGAUACCGUCGUAGU